rnacentral:rRNA from 1 species
GAUGAAAGACGGUUUCGGCUGUCACUUACAGAUGGACCCGCGGCGCAUUAGCUAGUUGGUGAGGUAACGGCUCACCAAGGCGACGAUGCGUAGCCGACCUGAGAGGGUGAUCGGCCACACUGGGACUGAGACACGGCCCAGACUCCUACGGGAGGCAGCAGUAGGGAAUCUUCCGCAAUGGACGAAAGUCUGACGGAGCAACGCCGCGUGAGUGAUGAAGGUUUUCGGAUCGUAAAGCUCUGUUGUUAGGGAAGAACAAGUGCAAGAGUAACUGCUUGCACCUUGACGGUACCUAACCAGAAAGCCACGGCUAACUACGUGCCAGCAGCCGCGGUAAUACGUAGGUGGCAAGCGUUGUCCGGAAUUAUUGGGCGUAAAGGGCUCGCAGGCGGUUUCUUAAGUCUGAUGUGAAAGCCCCCGGCUCAACCGGGGAGGGUCAUUGGAAACUGGGAAACUUGAGUGCAGAAGAGGAGAGUGGAAUUCCACGUGUAGCGGUGAAAUGCGUAGAGAUGUGGAGGACCACCAGUGGCGAAGGCUACUCUCUGGUCUGUAGAUGACGCUGAGGAGCGAAAGCGUGGGAAGAGAAGAUGAUUAGAUCCCGUGAUACUCCCGCGCCAUACACGAUGAGCGCUAUGUGUUGAGGGUUUCUGCCCCCCCCUUAGUGCUGAAUAGAGCGUAUAACACCUCCCACCGGGGCGGUGAUGAAUCAAAAAAGAAACCUUAAAAGAAUUUUAGAAGGGGUCCCGAACAAACGGUGGAACCAUAGUGAUUUAAUUCGAAGCAACGCUAAGAACCUUUACCGGGUCUGGACAUCACCUGA